CCUAGAGUAUGCGGGCUUUGCCUGCCAUCUCUUACCCAUGUCUUUUGAGUACCUUCGUUUCCUCGGCGGGUCCGCCUGCCGACUGGACAAUUUAAACCAUUUGCAGUCUGCAAUCAGCGUCUGAAAAAACUUAAUAGUUA
rnacentral:misc_RNA from 1 species